UACGUAGGGGGCAAGCGUUGUCCGGAAUCAUUGGGCGUAAAGAGCGUGUAGGCGGCCCGGUAAGUCCGCUGUAAAAGUCAAAGGCUCAACCUUUGAAUGUCAGUGGAUACUGCCGGGCUAGAGUCCGGAAGAGGCGAGUGGAACUCCUGGUGUAGCGGUGGAAUGCGUAGAGAUGUGGAGGAACACCAGUGGCGAAGGCGACUCUUUGGCCUGUAACUGACGCUGAGGCGCGAAAGCGUGGGGAGCAAACAGG
rnacentral:rRNA from 1 species